CACGCGGCUGACGGGCGGCGGAGCCGGCAUUAGGGCCCAGAUGCACCGUUGGAGAAAUACCAGAUGCGAUGAAAAAGGUGUUUGGCGAACACAGAGCUAGCGAUCGGAUGAGGAAGCGGUUCGGUCUCCCGUGGCUUUGAGUUCACUUCUUUUCACCUCCUGAGAUGGGCCCUUCGGAGGAGAGAGUCAAGACAGGGGUAUUGCUCAGUGAUGACGUUUUUGUCCGACAAUAAACCAACAGCCGAUCACCCUUCAGAAAACAGAAAAGGUCCUGGACUCGAAAGUAGCUUUAAUGCAUGCCGAACAGUUUCGUUACAGGAAGAAGACCAAAAAUGUAGGUGAGUUUGAGUUAUAUGCUCUAUUUUGGUUAAAGACUUUCCUCACACUUCUUACUCUUUUUGGAAAAUAUAAUCUGUAGGUACUACUGG